GUAUUGAAAUAAGAUUUUAAUUGAAUGCUAAGAGAAUGGAAUUACACGAAAAAACUUUUUUUAAAUUAAAAAUUGAACUUUUUUUAAUUUGUGCAGAAACAAUUAUUAAUAUUAAGGACAAGAAGACCCUAUGAAUUUAUAAAAUUUUUAAACUGAUAUUUAAUUAUUGUCAUAAAAAUUUUAGCUGGGGAGGCGGAAAAAUAUUAAAAACUUUUUAAAAAUAAAAUGAUCCAUUAUUAAUGAUUAUAUGAUAAAUACUCUAGGGAUAACAGCGUUAUAUUUUUUGAUAGACCAUAUUGACAAAAAAGUUUGCGACCUCGAUGUUGGAUUAGGAUACUUUUU
rnacentral:rRNA from 1 species